GCCCUGCGUCCCUUACCUCAGGCUCUCCCGGGCCUGUCCCGCGGGGUCUGUCCUCGGAUCUCCCUCCCUCGAUCCCUCGCCUCCCACCUCCAUCGCUGGGUCACCCCUCCCUUCCCAAUCUUGCCUUCCUAACUCAAGAGACAGCGCAGGAAAGAUGUCAGGCUAUCAGAGAGACCAGGGUUCCAGGCCCAGCUCUGCCUCUCUGAGCUGCAAGACCUUGGCAUGUAACGUAACCUCUCCCAGCCCCAGUUUCCACUGGGAAAUAAUAAGAACUUAUCUCUUUGGGUAAAAUGAAAUGAUAUACAUGUAAAGGGCUUAGAACUUAUUCGAUUCUGGUAGCCAAUACAUUGUAGUUUUCUAAGGCGGGGGGGGGGGACCCUGGGCACUGGAUGAUGACAGAAAGCGCCACACUGAGGACUGUGGUGAUUUGAAGGGCCAAGGAGUCUGGAUGGGGCUGCCAGGUGGGCAAGGCUGGGGUCUCUCAUGAUGGAGAGGCCCGCCCACACCAGGGCUCCCACCUGGACACCAGGCUUCACCUCCAUCUGCUCCUACUCAGGCCCGACACUGCCCCACUGGCCCUUCCUCGUUAAUCCUACACCUUUGUAUGGCCCUGCAUGUUUCACAGAUUGACGGCUUAAUCCAAAAUGCUUAAUCCUUGAACAGAAUUAUCCCCAUUACACAGAUGGGAAAGCAGAGGCUCCGAGAGGUUAAGUGACCUAUCAAAGACCUCACAGCUACAACAUGGCAUAGCUGAGAUUUGACCCCAAGUUCUCUGGCCACUCUUCACGGCUCUGCUUUCCCCCCUCUGAGGAACACUCGGUUGCUAAGAGACAGCAAGCCAGUGGUUACUAUGGGAACUGGGCUGACGUGGCAAGUGGAAAGAGUUGGUGUCCGAGCAGCAGUGAGAAGGCUCCAGGAGGGGGAUGAUACUAGCCCCUUUCCCACAGACGCUGUGUUGAGACAAUUAACAAAGACACAAAGCACUAUGCCUGACACACACAGGCUUCACUCACUGUGUGACCUUGGGAGAAAAAUCUCCUGCUAUCCCUCACCCCUUGCUGGGCACUUUGAGGAUGAGCAGAAUCAAGAAACGGGGCUCUCUGAGGCCUCAGACUUCCCUACUCAAAGUUCAGGGACCUGGAGGAAGAGGCGGCGCUGGCAGCUAAAUUUGUUCAUCCGCCUGUCAGUCCUUUAAUCUGAUCCCCGAGGAACCACACAGAGGCUUGACUCUGGAUGACAAACGAGGAGGGGCGAGGCCUGCCCUGCCUGGACUCCGGGCCCCAGCCAUAACCAGUAAGCAAGAUGGCACCUAGAGCAAAUCCUUGCACCCUCUUUUAUUCCUUAGAGUCGUCUCCCCAGUGGUUCAUGCCCAGACCUGGAAACCCUGGCUCUCCUUGCUGUGCGUGUAACUUGGUCCCUGGCUUCCCGGUCCUUCAAGGCCUGCAUCUCUCACAGAGCGCCACCAGGAGGCGCCCCAUGCCUGCUCUGCCUUCUGGGCCUGAUCCGUCCAGAGGAGGGGCCUCCUCCCCGUGGGUCUGCAAUGCCUCCCUGGAACCAGCGCGUGCUCGGCAAAGCCUCGCACCCUUUCUCUCGCCUGAUCCCCCAUCGAGUGGUAGAUGUCUCCCCAGACACUGUCUCCACGGUGCUGCUCUAGCUGUGCCCGUGGCCCUCUGCUCGGGUCACUCCUUCAGGCCCGGCCCUCGGAGUCCAAGGCCUUCAUGCGAGCACAGAGCCUUGAGUCCCGGGCUGGUUGGGGCCACACCUGGGGCGGGGCAUUUCUCCUGAGCUUCUGAUUCCUGAAGGUUCAUGGAUUAAGUGUCCCCAUGUGCAGUUAUGGGCCAACGCUUAAAUAAUUAUUCCCGGACCACCCCAGCUUGAGGACAGGCCUGGAAUCAACAAAUUUGACCAACUCCCCGCCCUGUGCUCUGGCUCCUUUGGGGAGCCUUCUGCCCUCCAGGAAGAAACAAAAUCCCUUAAAUAUUAUUAAAAAUAGUUUUUCAGUAGAUAAUACAUCCAAUUGAUUUAAAAAAUCAAAGCAAUACAAAGUAAAAAGCCUUCCUGCCACCCCUUCCCUAUGCACUUGGUUUCCUCCCCCCACCCCCACCCCACAUACCCCCAAGUGGCCACUUGUAUUAAUUUCUUGUGUAGCCUUCUAAAGAAAAUAAAAAUCUGUGCUCCUAUUUUCCUCCUUUCUUAUACAAAAGGCACACCUAGUGUAUACUGUUCUGCGUUUUGUUUUCACAUUUCUGCAUUUAAAUCUAUCUUGGCAGUCUUUUCAUAAAUAAAGUCCUUGUUCCUUUUUUACAGCUGCAUAGUAUUCCAUUGUGUGGCUGUACACAACUUAUUUAACUCAUUCCUUUCUCGAUGAGUAAUUGGGCAGUUGCUCCUUUUUCACUCUUACUAGCAACAUUGCAGUGAAUGCCUCCGUGUAUCCAUCAUUUCAUAAAUGAGCUUUUGUACAUAUCUGGAGGAUAUAAUGUCCUGAGUGGGAGUACUAAUAACAGCAUGAGAGUGUUUGUAACUCAAGGAGGCGUUCAGCAGGUGUUGCCAAUUGCCCUUGUGGGUCUUGUACCACUGGGCACUCCCCAAGCAGGGAUGAGACUAUUUCUCAGCAGCCUCACCAACAGAGUGUAUGGUCCACCUUUUGGAUUUUGCCACAAAUUCAUUUGUGUUCAGGGCCCCCAGGAGGCCUGCCUUGACCUCCAGACUGUAACCCCACUGCCUGUGUCACCCCAGCACUCAGGCCUUUCACAGCACUUUGUGCAUUUGAAAUGACUUAUACAUUAUGUCAUUAUUAUUAUUAGUCCUUCAAUGUUAGCCUACCUCCAGCCUAUAAACUCCACGUGGGCAGCGACUGAACCCCAGCCCCCGGCACAGCGUGGCACAUUAGAGAUACUUAAUACCCCUUUGUUGGCUAGGCUGUCCCCCCUGUGUGCCACACACCCUUACAGAUGCUUUGCCUGAGUGUGCUCAGCUGUGCCUCUCAAUCUGCUUAUGAGGGAGGCCCUGGUACCAACUCCAUGGAACAGAUGAGGAGACAGAGGCUCAGAGAUGGGAAGCGAUUUGUUCAAUGACUCACAGCUGGCCAGUAGGGAAGACCUUAGCCCUCCUCCUGAGACUCUGGAUUUACUUCCUGAUCUGGUCCAUGGGGCCCCCUCAUCACCAGGAGCAGUCAGGCUCAGGUCAGAGCACUCCAAACUCAAAAUCGGCCCCCUCUCUGCACUCUCCACAAUGAUGGGGAGUCACGCUGGGGGCUUGUCUGAGCCCCUGGGGGCCUUAUGGGCUUGUAGGCUCAGGCCCCCUGUUUGGUGGCAAUGCCAAGGCCACAGUGACCCCUGCAGCUGUACAGUGACCAAAGUCCUUUCCCAGAGACUCUGCGGCUGUGCUGGCCUUGUGCCCGACUGUCACUCUGUUCCCCAGCGGCUCUUUGUGGCGGCUGCCUGCCUCCCAUUAAUCAUGUGUGCAGGAUUUAUUUUCUCCAGCAAUUUAUUUCAGUAAAUGCAAUCUGGGUGUGCCCGCAGGUGGGCAGGGUACUCUGCUGCUGCCAGAGCCAUGGAGCCUGGCUUUAUUGUCAGGCCCACAGGCGUGACUUGCCUGCACCCCCAUGACAGAUAUCAGACCCGGCUAAGCCCUGGGGUGGGGACACUAGGGACCUCAGGGACCAACCCCAUCCCUACAUCACGAUGACCUCAGGGUUCCAUGCAGCCCGGAAGAUCCAGUGUGCCCCACUUUCUUUAAUAGGGCUUUGCUGCCCUUACCAAGGCUAGCUGGCUAAGGGAGUGCCAGCGGGAAGAUUAGCCCCUGAUGGCCUCAGGCUGAAAGAGGCAUUCAGAGGCCUUUUCUGAAGACCAGGUGGGGGAUCAGUUUCCUGAUCUGGGGAAGGAGGGGGUCCUCCCUCCUGAACCCCCUCCUCCCUGGCACUGCCGGGCAACCCGGCCCUGAUUCCCACCACAGUAAUGGAGGGAAACAAUCAACUAAUGCCAACUCUGCCACCCCUGCUGCCACACCCACGUGUCCUCUUUCCUGGGGUUCCCUUUGGUCCCUUCAUCACCCUCGGCCCC